CGCAACGCGAAGAACCUUACCGAGGCUUGACAUCCCUUGUAAGCCGUAGAAAUACGGUCCUCAUAGCAAUAUGACAAGGUGACAGGUGCUGCAUGGCUGUCGUCAGCUCGUGCCGUGAGGUGUUGGGUUAAGUCCCGCAACGAGCGCAACCCUCGUUUUGUGUUGGUCCGCAAGGAUCUCUCACAAGAGACCGCCGAUGAGAAGUCGGAGGAAGGUGGGGAUGACGUCAAGUCAGCAUGGCCCUUACGUCUCGGGCUACACACGUGCUACAAUGGGUGCGACAACGAGUUCCAAACUCGCGAGGGCAAGGCAAUCUCUUAAACGCACCCUCAGUUCGGAUUGAAGGCUGCAACUCGCCUUCAUGAAGUCGGAAUCGCUAGUAAACGCGGAUCAGCUACGCCGCGUUGAAUACGUUCCCGGGCCUUGUACACACCGCCCGUCACGUCACCUGAGUUUAGUGUACCCGAAGCCGUCCGUGCACCGCAAGGAGCAAGACGUCUAAGGUGUGCUAGGUAAGGGGGACGAAGUCGUAACAAGGUAGC
rnacentral:rRNA from 1 species